rnacentral:rRNA from 1 species
CGAGGACUCCCCUAGUAACGGCGAGUGAACGGGGAAAAGCCCAGCGCUGAAUCCAUUAGUCACUGGCUAUAUGGAAUUGUAGCGUAUAGGUGUGACUAUUCGGUUGUUUCGUUCACCCAAAGUCCCCUUGAGCGGGGCUACAGUCCAAAGAAGGUGCUAGACCUGUACGGGUGGUGAAGCAAUUGAUAGGUUACUCCUUGGAGUCGGGUUGCCUGAAAUCGCAGCCCAAAGAGGGUGGUAAACCUCAUCUAAGGCUACAUAUGACCACGAGACCGAUAGCAAACAAGUACCGUGAGGGAAAGUUGCAAAGAACUUUGAAGAGAGAGUUCAAGAGGGCGUGAAACCGCUGAGAAGGAAACGGAUAGAGUUGACGAAAUUUGACGGCAUUCAGCCAUUCGACUUAGCGGCACUGCGGCUUCGAGCCUCGAUGAGGGCGAAGUCGUGACAUGCUGUUGGGUAUUUGUGACUGGUGUAUUUGCCGUCGAUAUGCGCCGAGAACUUCGCUAUCGUGCGAUGACGCUCGUUGUAGAGGACCACACCUUCCGGGUGUGGAACCCUGCAUGAGUUGAAGCGCAUCGGUAUGAAGCCUGUGUGCUGUCUCCGCUAUAGUGCGACGGUUAUCGUGUCCGGUGUGGCUAUAUGGCGGUCGCAUGCGCUUGCUUGUGGCUAUUGCUGGUCCGCGGUGGCGCAGUUGCGCUGAGACUAGCCUCUCGGUGUGAAAGUUGA